GUCUAUGGCCAUGCCACCCUGAACAAGCCCGAUAUCUGAUCUUGGAAGCUAAGCAGAGUCAGGCCUGGUUAGUACCUGGAUGAAAGACCACCUAGGAAGACCAGGUACUGUAGGCA
rnacentral:rRNA from 1 species